UACGUAGGGUCCAAGUCGUUGUCCGGAUUUAUUGGGCGUAAAGAGCUCGUAGGCGGUUCCGUAAGUCGGAUGUGAAAACUCAGAGCUCAACCCGGAGACGCCAUCUGAUACUGCGGUGACUGGAGUCUGGUAGGGGAUCACGGAAUACCUGGUGUAGCGGUGAAAUGCGCAGAUAUCAGGUGGAACACCGAUGGCGAAGGCAGUGAUCUGGGCCAGUACUGACGCUGAGGAGCGAAAGCGUGGGGAGCAAACAGG
rnacentral:rRNA from 1 species